rnacentral:rRNA from 1 species
GGGUUGUGAGGUUAAGCGACUAAGCGUACACGGUGGAUGCCCUGGCAGUCAGAGGCGAUGAAGGACGUGCUAAUCUGCGAUAAGCGUCGGUAAGGUGAUAUGAACCGUUAUAACCGGCGAUUUCCGAAUGGGGAAACCCAGUGUGUUUCGACACACUAUCAUUAACUGAAUCCAUAGGUUAAUGAGGCGAACCGGGGGAACUGAAACAUCUAAGUACCCCGAGGAAAAGAAAUCAACCGAGAUUCCCCCAGUAGCGGCGAGCGAACGGGGAGCAGCCCAGAGCCUGAAUCAGUGUGUGUGUUAGUGGAAGCGUCUGGAAAGGCGCGCGAUACAGGGUGACAGCCCCGUACACAAAAAUGCACAUGCUGUGAGCUCGAUGAGUAGGGCGGGACACGUGGUAUCCUGUCUGAAUAUGGGGGGACCAUCCUCCAAGGCUAAAUACUCCUGACUGACCGAUAGUGAACCAGUACCGUGAGGGAAAGGCGAAAAGAACCCCGGCGAGGGGAGUGAAAAAGAACCUGAAACCGUGUACGUACAAGCAGUGGGAGCACGCUUAGGCGUGUGACUGCGUACCUUUUGUAUAAUGGGUCAGCGACUUAUAUUCUGUAGCAAGGUUAACCGAAUAGGGGAGCCGAAGGGAAACCGAGUCUUAACUGGGCGUUAAGUUGCAGGGUAUAGACCCGAAACCCGGUGAUCUAGCCAUGGGCAGGUUGAAGGUUGGGUAACACUAACUGGAGGACCGAACCGACUAAUGUUGAAAAAUUAGCGGAUGACUUGUGGCUGGGGGUGAAAGGCCAAUCAAACCGGGAGAUAGCUGGUUCUCCCCGAAAGCUAUUUAGGUAGCGCCUCGUGAAUUCAUCUCCGGGGGUAGAGCACUGUUUCGGCAAGGGGGUCAUCCCGACUUACCAACCCGAUGCAAACUGCGAAUACCGGAGAAUGUUAUCACGGGAGACACACGGCGGGUGCUAACGUCCGUCGUGAAGAGGGAAACAACCCAGACCGCCAGCUAAGGUCCCAAAGUCAUGGUUAAGUGGGAAACGAUGUGGGAAGGCCCAGACAGCCAGGAUGUUGGCUUAGAAGCAGCCAUCAUUUAAAGAAAGCGUAAUAGCUCACUGGUCGAGUCGGCCUGCGCGGAAGAUGUAACGGGGCUAAACCAUGCACCGAAGCUGCGGCAGCGACGCUUAUGCGUUGUUGGGUAGGGGAGCGUUCUGUAAGCCUGUGAAGGUGUGCUGUGAGGCAUGCUGGAGGUAUCAGAAGUGCGAAUGCUGACAUAAGUAACGAUAAAGCGGGUGAAAAGCCCGCUCGCCGGAAGACCAAGGGUUCCUGUCCAACGUUAAUCGGGGCAGGGUGAGUCGACCCCUAAGGCGAGGCCGAAAGGCGUAGUCGAUGGGAAACAGGUUAAUAUUCCUGUACUUGGUGUUACUGCGAAGGGGGGACGGAGAAGGCUAUGUUGGCCGGGCGACGGUUGUCCCGGUUUAAGCGUGUAGGCUGGUUUUCCAGGCAAAUCCGGAAAAUCAAGGCUGAGGCGUGAUGACGAGGCACUACGGUGCUGAAGCAACAAAUGCCCUGCUUCCAGGAAAAGCCUCUAAGCAUCAGGUAACAUCAAAUCGUACCCCAAACCGACACAGGUGGUCAGGUAGAGAAUACCAAGGCGCUUGAGAGAACUCGGGUGAAGGAACUAGGCAAAAUGGUGCCGUAACUUCGGGAGAAGGCACGCUGAUAUGUAGGUGAAGUCCCUUGCGGAUGGAGCUGAAAUCAGUCGAAGAUACCAGCUGGCUGCAACUGUUUAUUAAAAACACAGCACUGUGCAAACACGAAAGUGGACGUAUACGGUGUGACGCCUGCCCGGUGCCGGAAGGUUAAUUGAUGGGGUCAGCGCAAGCGAAGCUCUUGAUCGAAGCCCCGGUAAACGGCGGCCGUAACUAUAACGGUCCUAAGGUAGCGAAAUUCCUUGUCGGGUAAGUUCCGACCUGCACGAAUGGCGUAAUGAUGGCCAGGCUGUCUCCACCCGAGACUCAGUGAAAUUGAACUCGCUGUGAAGAUGCAGUGUACCCGCGGCAAGACGGAAAGACCCCGUGAACCUUUACUAUAGCUUGACACUGAACAUUGAGCCUUGAUGUGUAGGAUAGGUGGGAGGCUUUGAAGUGUGGACGCCAGUCUGCAUGGAGCCGACCUUGAAAUACCACCCUUUAAUGUUUGAUGUUCUAACGUUGACCCGUAAUCCGGGUUGCGGACAGUGUCUGGUGGGUAGUUUGACUGGGGCGGUCUCCUCCUAAAGAGUAACGGAGGAGCACGAAGGUUGGCUAAUCCUGGUCGGACAUCAGGAGGUUAGUGCAAUGGCAUAAGCCAGCUUGACUGCGAGCGUGACGGCGCGAGCAGGUGCGAAAGCAGGUCAUAGUGAUCCGGUGGUUCUGAAUGGAAGGGCCAUCGCUCAACGGAUAAAAGGUACUCCGGGGAUAACAGGCUGAUACCGCCCAAGAGUUCAUAUCGACGGCGGUGUUUGGCACCUCGAUGUCGGCUCAUCACAUCCUGGGGCUGAAGUAGGUCCCAAGGGUAUGGCUGUUCGCCAUUUAAAGUGGUACGCGAGCUGGGUUUAGAACGUCGUGAGACAGUUCGGUCCCUAUCUGCCGUGGGCGCUGGAGAACUGAGGGGGGCUGCUCCUAGUACGAGAGGACCGGAGUGGACGCAUCACUGGUGUUCGGGUUGUCAUGCCAAUGGCACUGCCCGGUAGCUAAAUGCGGAAGAGAUAAGUGCUGAAAGCAUCUAAGCACGAAACUUGCCCCGAGAUGAGUUCUCCCUGACCCUUUAAGGGUCCUGAAGGAACGUUGAAGACGACGACGUUGAUAGGCCGGGUGUGUAAGCGCAGCGAUGCGUUGAGCUAACCGGUACUAAUGAACCGUGAGGCUUAACCUUACAACGCCGAAGCUGUU